rnacentral:rRNA from 1 species
GACGAACGCUGGCGGCGUGCCUAAUACAUGCCAGUAGAACGCACAGUUUAUACCGUAGCUUGCUACACCAUAAACUGUGAGUUGCGAACGGGUGAGUAACGCGUAGGUAACCUGCCUGGUAGCGGGGGAUAACUAUUGGAAACGAUAGCUAAUACCGCAUAAUAUUGAUUAUUGCAUGAUAAUCGAUUGAAAGAUGCUAUUGCAUCACUACCAGAUGGACCUGCGUUGUAUUAGCUAGUAGGUGAGGUAACGGCUCACCUAGGCGACGAUACAUAGCCGACCUGAGAGGGUGAUCGGCCACACUGGGACUGAGACACGGCCCAGACUCCUACGGGAGGCAGCAGCAGGGAAUCUUCGGCAAUGGACGAAAGUCUGACCGAGCAACGCCGCGUGAGUGAAGAAGGUUUUCGGAUCGUAAAGCUCUGUUGUAAGAGAAGAACGGGUGUGAGAGUGGAAAGUUCACACUGUGACGGUAUCUUACCAGAAAGGGACGGCUAACUACGUG